rnacentral:rRNA from 1 species
ACUUAAAUUGAAGAGUUUGAUCAUGGCUCAGAUUGAACGCUGGCGGCAGGCCUAACACAUGCAAGUUGAACGGUAACAGGAAGCAGCUUGCUGCUUUGCUGACGAGUGGCGGACGGGUGAGUAAUGUCU